rnacentral:rRNA from 1 species
GACGAACGCUGGCGGCGUGCUUAACACAUGCAAGUCGAACGAAGAGCGAUGGAAGCUUGCUUCUAUCAAUCUUAGUGGCGCACGGGUGAGUAACGCGUAAUCAACCUGCCCUUCAGAGGGGGACAACAGUUGGAAACGACUGCUAAUACCGCAUACGAUCUAACCUCGGCAUCGAGGAAAGAUGAAAGGUGGCCUCUAUGUAUAAGCUAUCACUGAAGGAGGGGAUUGCGUCUGAUUAGCUAGUUGGAGGGGUAACGGCCCACCAAGGCGAUGAUCAGUAGCCGGUCUGAGAGGAUGAACGGCCACAUUGGGACUGAGACACGGCCCAGACUCCUACGGGAGGCAGCAGUGGGGAAUCUUCCGCAAUGGACGAAAGUCUGACGGAGCAACGCCGCGUGAGUGGUGACGGCCUUCGGGUUGUAAAGCUCUGUUAAUCGGGACGAAAGGCCUUCUUGCGAAUAGUGAGAAGGAUUGACGGUACCGGAAUAGAAAGCCACGGCUAACUACGUG